rfam:Brevibacterium mcbrellneri ATCC 49030 contig00007, whole genome shotgun sequence.
GUUCAAGAGUUGUAGCUUUCGGUACCUGGCUGGCUGCACGGCAACCCUCUUCACCGAGCGGGGUGCCCCAGGGGAAGAACCGGCAUGAACAACCGUUCGUGCAAGUCGAUGGA